rnacentral:rRNA from 1 species
AGUGAACGCUGGCGGUAGGCCUAACACAUGCAAGUCGAACGGCAGCACAGUAAGAGCUUGCUCUUACGGGUGGCGAGUGGCGGACGGGUGAGGAAUACAUCGGAAUCUACUUUUUCGUGGGGGAUAACGGAGGGAAACUUACGCUAAUACCGCAUACUACCUACGGGUGAAAGCAGGGGAUCUUCGGCCCUUGCGCGAUUGAAUGAGCCGAUGUCGGAUUAGUUAGUUGGCGGGGUAAAGGCCCACCAAGGCGACGAUCCGUAGCUGGUCUGAGAGGAUGAUCAGCCACACUGGAACUGGGACACGGUCCAGACUCCUACGGGAGGCAGCAGUGGGGAAUAUUGGACAAUGGGCGCAAGCCUGAUCCAGCCAUACCGCGUGGGUGAAGAAGGCCUUCGGGUUGUAAAGCCCUUUUGUUGGGAAAGAAAAGCAGCAGGUUAAUACCCCGCUGUUCUGACGGUACCCAAAGAAUAAGCACCGGCUAACUUCGUG